AUUGAACGCUGGCGGCAGGCCUAACACAUGCAAGUCGAACGGUAACAGGAAACAGCUUGCUGUUUCGCUGACGAGUGGCGGACGGGUGAGUAAUGUCUGGGAAACUGCCUGAUGGAGGGGGAUAACUACUGGAAACGGUAGCUAAUACCGCAUAACGUCGCAAGACCAAAGAGGGGGACCUUCGGGCCUCUUGCCAUCGGAUGUGCCCAGAUGGGAUUAGCUUGUUGGUGGGGUAACGGCUCACCAGGGCGACGAUCCCUAGCUGGUCUGAGAGGAUGACCAGCCACACUGGAACUGAGACACGGUCCAGAAUCCUACGGGAGGCAGCAGUGGGGAAUAUUGCACAAUGGGCGCAAGCCUGAUGCAGCCAUGCCGCGUGUAUGAAGAAGGCCUUCGGGUUGUAAAGUACUUUCAGCGGGGAGGAAGGGAGUAAAGUUAAUACCUUUACUCAUUGACGUUACCCGCAGAAGAAGCACCGGCUAACUCCGUGCCAGCCGCCGCCGUAA
rnacentral:rRNA from 1 species